UGUAAAAUUAAUCAAAGGAGGAGCGCGGCCCGCGUCAAAGCGCACUUCGGCUGUGAACUGAGCGCUCGGUUCUCGUUACUCUAAUUUAUUGUAAGUUUGUGGCUGCAGUUAACAAAUUCUGAAAGUACCAGCGCACAAUGAAACCGGCAGGCUACUCUUGGAAAAGCCUUCUUGAAAAUUCAGAUGGUUUUUGAAGUGUGCAGUGAAGACAGCAAAGGCUGUGUAAGCAAAGAAGACUCUACAGUUGGUCUAGUAAUAUUUUUUUGCUAGAAGCCCUCCAAGAGAAGUCGAUCAAGAUUCUGACGGCUGCAUCAGCUUCAAAGAGUUUGAAUCUGCAAUGAAGUACGGACAAGAUGAAGUAUCACCAGUGUACUUUGCCUAAGGAAUAUUUUCUGGUACAAUGAAACUGGAAUCUUUCUCUUUUUUAAUCCCAAGACAGUACUGUCUUGGAAGAGGAAGGCCCUAUUCCAGUACUGACAUCUUGUGCCAAAAGAAAGCAGCCCUGAGAUAGGACCACAAGUAUCCUAGAUUUUUCAAGUCCUCAUUUGGAAGACAGAAUGGAAAGCUGUAACUCAAGGGUGAGAAGUCAUGUUGGAUCUCUACCUGAGAGCUCGUCACGACAAAAAGAACAGUAGAAUCACAAGAAAAAUCUUUUAUUUGUAGCUCUUUGGCUUGUACCAGUUGUCCAUUGCAGUGAUUCAUCAUUGCAGUUCUUUGUCCUCUAUGAGAGUUCUC